rnacentral:rRNA from 1 species
UACGGGGGGGGCAAGCGUUGUUCGGAAUUACUGGGCGUAAAGGGCUCGUAGGCGGCCAACUAAGUCGGAUGUGAAAUCCCCAGGCUCAACCUGGGAACUGCAUCCGAUACUGGAUGGCUUGAAUCCGGGAGAGGGAUGCAGAAUUCCAGGUGUAGCGGUGAAAUGCGUAGAUAUCUGGAGGAAUACCGGUGGCGAAGGCGGCAUCCUGGACCGGCAUUGACGCUGAGUGAGCGAAAGCUAGGGGAGCAAACGGG